GGGCCGAUAGUAUAGUGGUAGUACAGUACAUUCGCAUUGUACAGACGGGGGUUCGAUUCCCCCCCGGUCCA
rnacentral:tRNA from 1 species